rnacentral:rRNA from 1 species
UACGUAGGGGGCAAGCGUUAUCCGGAAUUACUGGGUGUAAAGGGUGCGUAGGUGGCGAUUUAAGUCAGAUGCGAAAACUCAGGGCUCAACCUUGAGACUGCAUCUGAAACUAGGUUGCUAGAGUGUAGGAGAGGAAAGCGGAAUUCCGAGUGUAGCGGUGAAAUGCGUAGAGAUUCGGAGGAACACCAGUAGCGAAGGCGGCUUUCUGGACUAUUACUGACAAUGAGGCACGAAAGCGUGGGGAGCAAACAGG